GCUAUACUAAGAAUGCCCUUAGAUAUCCUGACAGCAGCACAGGGUGGCACAUGCGCAAUUAUCAAAGCAGAAUGUUGUAUGUACAUCCCAGACUAACACAAAACUGUCACAGAACUAAUAAAAUAUAUGAAUGCCCAGAUUAAAGGUCUAAAAGAUCCUUCUCUCUGUGACUGGUUAAGUUCCUGGUUUGGAGGAGGACUAUGGCCAACGAUUAAAUCUCCUUUUCGGGCUUCUCAUUUUUAUCACCUUAUUAAUCUUAGUAUGUUGCUUUGUUCAUUGUUUCUCUACUUGGUGCCGAGACUCCAUUGCUGCAAUGACUUCACAGCAACAGAUGAUCCUGACCACGCAGAGAGAUACUUCUUCACUGUCAGCGCUGGAUUCAGCUGCCUCUGCUUUUCUAACUCCCUUAUACCUUCCAACACUGAUCAAUAUUGACCCGAGUAGGUAGGG